ACGGGUGCGUAACGCGUGGGAAUCUGCCCUUGGGUUCGGGAUAACAGUUGGAAACGACUGCUAAUACCGGAUGAUAUCUUCGGAUCAAAGAUUUAUCGCCCAGGGAUGAGCCCGCGUAGGAUUAGCUUGUUGGUGAGGUAAAAGCUCACCAAGGCGACGAUCCUUAGCUGGUCUGAGAGGAUGAUCAGCCACACUGGGACUGAGACACGGCCCAGACUCCUACGGGAGGCAGCAGUGGGGAAUAUUGGACAAUGGGCGAAAGCCUGAUCCAGCAAUGCCGCGUGAGUGAUGAAGGCCUUAGGGUUGUAAAGCUCUUUUACCCGGGAUGAUAAUGACAGUACCGGGAGAAUAAGCCCCGGCUAACUCCGUGCCAGCAGCCGCGGUAAUACGGAGGGGGCUAGCGUUGUUCGGAAUUACUGGGCGUAAAGCGCGCGUAGGCGGCUUUGUAAGUUAGAGGUGAAAGCCCGGAGCUCAACUCCGGAAUUGCCUUUAAGACUGCAUCGCUAGAAUCAUGGAGAGGUGAGUGGAAUUCCGAGUGUAGAGGUGAAAUUCGUAGA
rnacentral:rRNA from 1 species